AUAAGCAACGUGCCCCAAAGACCGGGAUAGUCGCUGGAAACGGCGGGUAAUACCGGAUGAGGCCCUCACCCGGCAUCGGGAGAGGAUCAAAUGGUUUUUCGCUUUGGGAGCGGCUUAUGGCCUAUCAGGUUGUUGGUGAGGUAACGGCUCACCAAGCCGACGACGGGUAGCGGGUCUGAGAGGAUGAUCCGCUCGAGUGGGACUGAGACACGGCC
rnacentral:rRNA from 1 species